CCUACGGGGGGCAGCAGUGGGGAAUAUUGGACAAUGGGGGCAACCCUGAUCCAGCCAUGCCGCGUGUGUGAAGAAGGCCCUCGGGUUGUAAAGCACUUUCAGUGAGGAAGAACGCCUGGUGGUUAAUACCCAUCAGGAAAGACAUCACUCACAGAAGAAGCACCGGCUAACUCCGUGCCAGCAGCCGCGGUAAUACGGAGGGUGCGAGCGUUAAUCGGAAUUACUGGGCGUAAAGCGCGCGUAGGUGGCUUGAUAAGCCGGUUGUGAAAGCCCCGGGCUCAACCUGGGAACGGCAUCCGGAACUGUCAAGCUAGAGUGCAGGAGAGGAAGGUAGAAUUCCCGGUGUAGCGGUGAAAUGCGUAGAGAUCGGGAGGAAUACCAGUGGCGAAGGCGGCCUUCUGGACUGACACUGACACUGAGGUGCGAAAGCGUGGGUAGCAAACAGAAUUAGAUACCCGUGUAGUC
rnacentral:rRNA from 1 species